AGAAUCAACGCUGGCGGCGUGCCUAACACAUGCAAGUCGAACGAGAAAUGGACUUCGGUCCUGAGUACAGUGGCGCACGGGUGAGUAACACGUGACUAACCUACCCUGGAGUGGGGAAUAACUGAGGGAAACCUUAGCUAAUACCGCAUAAUACCUACGGGUCAAAGGAGCAAUUCGCUUCAGGAGGGGGUCGCGGCCGAUUAGCUAGUUGGCGGGGUAAUGGCCCACCAAGGCAAUGAUCGGUA
rnacentral:rRNA from 1 species